GACGAACGCUGGCGGCGUGCUUAACACAUGCAAGUCGAGCGGUAAGGCCCUUUCGGGGGUACGACGAGCGGCGAACGGGUGAGUAACACGUGGGUGACCUGCCCUUAGCUCUGGGAUAAGCCUGGGAAACUGGGUCUAAUACCGGAUAUGACUCCAUGACGCAUGUUGUGGGGUGGAAAGCCUUGUGCGGCUAGGGAUGGGCCCGCGGCCUAUCAGCUUGUUGGUGGGGUGAUGGCCUACCAAGGCGACGACGGGUAGCCGGCCUGAGAGGGCGACCGGCCACACUGGGACUGAGACACGGCCCAGACUCCUACGGGAGGCAGCAGUGGGGAAUCUUGCGCAAUGGGCGAAAGCCUAACGCAGCGACGCCGCGUGAGGGAUGAC
rnacentral:rRNA from 1 species